GUUCUCUACUGCAUAGACUCCUGGUGUUGGUUUUCACGAGAUAAUGAAUGUGAUCGCCUCGUGUGUAACUGGAGGUGGAGGAGGCUGGGUCUGAAGUUCCCAGUCCAGAGACCCACAAGCGAGCCAGAACCAGCACCCUUGAGCCCGCAUCCCAGUCCCCACAGAGGAUGAAGCUCCAGACUACCGAUGUGCCGCCCACUGGUGGAGAAAACGCCCCAGCCUGGGGCCAUCUGCUCAUCUUGCCAAUGUCCUUGGGCUCCUGAGAGCAACGGGUCUUUGUCACUAGUUCCAAAAAGAAGAGACAGAGGGUCCCGCAGGUCCAGUCCUUUGCCUGGACUAACAUCUGCUAAGCCAGGGGAGAUGCAAGCCUGGAUCCAGUUCUAGGAUUUAUGUUCUGCAUGGCUGGGCUCCAGUCUCUGCCCCGUCCUCGAUGCGGGGACCCUGGCCACCAUCCUCAGCACCAUCCACAGUAACCCCAUAAAAAUGUUUGUAAAGCGCCCAGCGCCCUGCCCGGACGCCGAAGAACAGUAAUGCAUGUAGGCUCACUCCUCCGGAAACCCCGGAGCAGGCGCGGAGUGAAGGCGACGCCGGACUUCGAGCCCCACUGCCCCCAGCUCAGGGACGUGUUUGCUCAGGCCUGCAUCAAGCGGCGCAUUUGCAACAAGACAGAACGGAGGGCAGGGGACCUGAGCCUGCCUGAGCCCCCUCGCCUGGGAGCAGCCCCUACCCCGACCUCCUCCUGCAGGCAGACGCUGCAAGCGCUUGUUUCCAGCCACAGAAACGGACGGAAGGCACCUGGACAGCUCUGCCUGCCGCUGGAAACAGAAGGGCAGUGGAAACUGAGGCUUGGAGACGGGAGCAAUGCAUUCUAUAGACUCAGGAAGCCCGGGCCGGACCGGGACUCUGCAUUUCUAACCGGCUCCCAGGGACGGCAGAGGGGCUGAACCCUGGGCUGCUGGUGGAGCGACAAAGACGCAUCACUUUACACUUCGCAGG